rnacentral:lncRNA from 1 species
CUUAUUAAGUUCACCAAUCAACAAUAACCCUGAUUACCCAUUCCCGUUGUCCUCACUUUACGUCCCUAAGCACCUAUCACAAGGGACCUAGCCUAAGGAUUAUCAUCGGGAUGGACACUACUGCUAAGGGGUUUCCUCAGCCAUACAUGUCCUAAAGGCAACCAUGAGGGGGAUGGAGUACGCCAAUGAACAUUUAAUUCAUCAACACCUACAAGUUGCGAACCUGCUAGUGUUCCACUGGACUGUCUAGAAAGGUCCGUGGUCGUCAUCUAUACCCCGCUAGAUGACUACAACAACAACAACAACAACAACAACAACAUCGAGGCCUCUCACCAUUUUAACACACAUCAACUAUUUCAUCUACCGAUGUUCUACCCAACAUAUUUUGUAGAUAAAAUACAUAUAGAGUUUAAAACUUGUAUAAAACGUUUAUUCAACAGUCACCUCAAAUAAACACUUAAUAUAAUUACACAUAGCACGUAUUUUAUAGAAAAUACUUCAUAUCUAGGUGUAAGAUGAAAGUGACUACACACUCACUUGUUUUGAUGAAAAUCGGGCAGCAAUUCGUUUCCUAAAAGGAUCGUUUCUAAUAAAACCGGGAGUUUUAUUGAGAAACCGGGCUCUGCAAAAGUCGGGCUUCGAAACAGAAAAGAUAAAUUUUCCGGGCUUCACGGGAACUUCGUGGCGUAUUCCGGGGCUUAUAACUGAUACCGGGGCUUCGGGGGAUGAUAAUAUGAAAGAAAUAUGGAGAAAGGGGCUAAAAAUGACAAGUUUUGAAAAUACUCCCGGGAGGUCUCGCACCCUUCUAUUUAUAGGGGGAGGCUUCUGAUCGGACGGUUAGGAAGAAGACACGCGUCGUACAUCCGAGGGCUCGCAUGGAGGGUGGCUCGCACAUGGUGUGCGCAUGCAAGGGGCUCGCUGGCAGUCUGCGAUUGGAUCGAGGUCUAGGGUCCGAAGUAGAGGGUUCGUGGCAUGCUGUGAGGGCUCGGUCUCGUGCAAGAAGGUAUGUGUCGCCUUCUCAGUGGACCACUUUGGAUAAGGCCACGUGCUCGGAUGACUCAGCAGGACACGUGGCACUCUUUCAGCGAAGGUGACGUGGCAAAACGUGACUAUGCGAAUUUUCUCGAUUUUUGCGCCAAAACUUCUAAAAUCCAUAACUUUUGCAUACGAUCUCCGUUUUUGACGUUCUUUAUAUGCACACGUAGCUAAAAUUACGCUCUACAACUUCUGUUUAGACUUCGUCGGCUAAUUUUGACUUUAAUUUUUAUAUUAUUAUUUUUAACAGACCGGGACAGGAAAUCCGUUAAAAAUUCAUAACUUCUUCAUUCGACGUCCGUUUUCGGCAGACUUUUUACCGUUGUGCUACUAAUAACGAGACCUUCAAUUCUUGUUUAGGUUGUGUUGGCUAAAAAUCGCUCGAUCUAAAAUUCGAGUUUUUAGCUGUCUACUGCUAAGCUGAAACUUCGAAAAAUCAUAACUUCCUCAUACGAAGUCAGAUUUGGGCGUUCUUUUUAUCGAACUUCUCGGUUUAAAGAAUACUACAAAUUUCAUUUAGAUUAGUAAGGCUAAAAAGUAGUUUAUCAAAAACUCACUUUUUACGACAUUCGGCACCUUGCCGGUUUUGUCGCGAAACUUCGACAUGUCAUAACUUCUUCGUUAUAACUCGGAUUUCGACAUUCUUUAUAUCCCCGAAAUCCUUGUUUCGACCACUACAACUUUAUGUAAAGAUAUCGGGCUUAUCUCACACUUUGAUUUUGACGCUUAUUUUUAUUCUUAAUUAAUUAAACCCUAAUAAUUAAGCAUAAAACACAUAAUUCACAUAAUAUUCACAUAAUUCCUUUUCAUUUCUUCAAAAUGAGUUACAAAGGUUAACCUAGACUAUCAACUCAAUAUAAAUGCCUAGGCUAGAAACACGAGUGUUACAAUUCUCUCCCCCUUAGGAUGAUUCCGUCCCCGGAAUCACAUAUCACCAAACAACUGCGGGUAGCGACUCAUCAUGUCACUCUCCGUUUCCCAAGUGAGAUUUGGUCCAUUCGUAUGUUUCCAGCGCACAAGCACUAAAUCGACCAUCUUGCGUCGUAACUUCAUAGUCUUACGGUCAACGAUUGCCUCAGGUUCUUCGAUCAACCUCUUGUUUUCAUCCAACCUUAACUCAGAAAUCGGAAUUAUGUCGGGCACAUCUCCUGUGAACUUUCUCAAAUAACACACAUGAAAGGUGUUAUGAAUACCCUCUAGUUCUUCCGGUAACUCUAGCUUGUAAGCUUGAUUCCCGAUCCUCUGAAGAACUUUAAAUGGUCCAAUAAACCUUGGACUCAACUUCCCUCUCUUACCAAAUCUUAUAAGUCCCUUCCACGGCGAGACUUUAAGUAAAACCGAAUCUCCAACAUCGAAGGAUAUCGGUUGUCUUUUCUUGUCAGCAUAACUCUUUUGUCGAUCUUGAGCAGCUAACAUCCUUUCCCUUAUCACUUUCAACUUUUCAGCAGUCUCAUGGACUAUUUCAGGUCCCAUAAACUGCUUUUCCCCAGCUUCCAGCCAACAUGAUGGCGUUCGACACUUCUCCCCAUACAAAGCGUGAUAAGGUGCCAUCUUAAUGCUUGAGUGGAAACUAUUAUUAUAGGAGAAUUCUACUAAAGGUAAGUGUUCAUCCCAGUUACCUUGGAAUUCUAGGGUACAUGCUCUCAGCAUAUCCUCCAAUGUUUGAAUCGUUCGCUCGCUCUGACCAUCGGUUUGCGGAUGGUAAGCUGUACUCAAACACAACUUGGUACCCAAUUCCUCUUGUAGACUCCUCCAAAACCUUGAGGUAAAACGGCUAUCACGAUCGGACACAAUCGUUAACGGAACACCGUGAAGCCUCACAAUUUCCUUCACGUAAGAAUUCGCAAGUUUAUCCAUAGACCAUUUCUCUUUGGCCGCUAUGAAAUGCGCACUCUUAGUGAAGCGAUCAACGACCACCCAAAUCAUGUCGUGACCGUUCCUUGUUCUGGGCAGUUUAGUCACAAAAUCCAUGGUGAUGUCUUCCCAUUUACCCAUGGGUACGGGUAAAGGUUCUAAACUCCCAUACGGUUUCUGAUGUUGUGCCUUAACCCUAGCACAAGUUACACACUCGGCCACAUACUUAGCAACAUCGAGCUUCAUCGUCGGCCACCAAUAAUAGGGUUUUAGAUCCCUAUACAUUUUCGUACUGCCGGGAUGAAUUGAGUACAUGGUCUUGUGAGCUUCUUCCAUCAGAAGAUCUCUUAUUCCGCCCGUCUUAGGUACCCAAAUUCUAUCUUGAAAUACCUUCAACCCUUGGUUGUUUGUACCGAACACUAACGUUUUGCCCAAACGUUCUUCCUUUCGGUCAUUUUUCUCUAAAGCUUCCUCUUGAGCUUUCUUUAUACUUUCCACAAUUGUCGAGACAACUUCAAUUCUCAACGCUCUUGGCCUUUUCUUUUCAAGGUUUACCUUCCGACUGAGAGCAUCGGCAACAACAUUUGCUUUACCAGGGUGGUAAAGUAUCUCACAGUCGUAGUCCUUGAGUAACUCUAGCCAGCGUCGUUGCCUCAUGUUCAAUUCCUUCUGAUUAAAGAGAUAUUGGAGACUCUUAUGAUCAGUGAAAAGUUUACACUUGGUGCCAUAAAGAUAAUGCCUCCAUAUCUUCAAGGCAAAUACUACCGCUGCCAACUCCAAAUCAUGAGUGGGGUAGUUCUUUUCAUGUUCCUUCAAUUGCCUCGAUGCAUACGCGAUCACUUUAUCCCUUUGGGUCAGAACACAACCUAACCCAACUCCGGAUGCAUCGCUAUAAACUGCAAAGUCAUCAACUCCUUCAGGCAAUGAAAGAAUCGGUGCUUCACACAAUCUCUUCUUCAACUUCUCAAAGGCUUCCUUAUGCUUCUCAUUCCAAGCAUAAGUGGCUCCUUUGUGGGUCAAAGCUGUUAAUGGAGUAGCAAUCGAAGAAAAGCCUUGGAUAAACCUUCGGUAAUAUCCAGCUAAUCCUAAAAAGCUUCGAAUCUCCGUAGGACUUUUUGGUUGUUCCCACUUCAUUACAGCUUCAAUCUUUGCUGGGUCAACCAUUAUUCCUUCUUGGUUAACCACAUGACCUAAAAAUUGGACUUCUUGAAUCCAAAAUUCACACUUGGAGAACUUUGCAUACAGCUUCUCCUUUUUCAGGACUUCUAGCACUUCACGCAGAUGCUUUUCAUGCUCCUGCUUGCUUUUCGAAUAAAUCAAGAUAUCAUCUAUGAAUACUAUCACGGAUUUAUCUAAGAAUGGUUUACAAACCCUAUUCAUCAAAUCCAUGAAAGCUGCUGGGGCAUUGGUUAGUCCGAACGACAUAACCAAAAAUUCAUAGUGUCCAUAUCUCGUUCUAAAAGCAGUCUUUUCGAUAUCCUGCUCUCUCACCUUUAGUUGAUGGUAUCCCGACCUAAGAUCGAUCUUCGAGAAAUAGCUCGAACCCUGCAACUGGUCGAACAAGUCAUCGAUCCUUGGCAACGGGUACUUGUUCUUUAUCGUCACUUUGUUCAGCUCUCUGUAAUCGAUGCACAUUCUCAUGCUUCCGUCUUUCUUCUUUACAAAUAACACAGGGGCUCCCCAGGGUGAUGAACUAGGUCGAAUGAAACCUUUGUCCAAUAACUCCUGAAGUUGUGUCAUAAGUUCUUUCAUUUCGGUUGGCGCUAAUCGAUAAGGUGCUUUCGCUAUCGGCGUCGUUCCUGGUAACAAGUCGAUACGAAAUUCUACUUGUCGAUCAGGGGGCAAUCCGGGAAGAUCUUCGGGAAAGACUUCCGGAUAAUCACACACCACCGGAAUAUUCUGCACCUCCUUCUUUUCCAUCUUGGCAUCGAUCACGAACGCUAGAUAUGAUGUACAUCCCUUGGCCAAACACUUUCUGGCUUUCAUUAGGGAAAUGAUUCCAGAGUUUACUCUGCGUUUGUCUCCGUACACCAUAAACGACUCUUUCCCUGGCGGGUUUACUUUUACUAUCUUCUUUCUACAUAGUAUUUCUGCAUCGUUGGCGCUAAGCCAAUCCAUUCCUAAAACUAUGUCGAAUCCAUUUAACUCGAUAGGCAAUAAUUCCUCGUGGAACUUAUUCCCAUCCAAGUCAAUGAGGAUGUUUUUCAUUCGAUGGCUAACAGGUACAAACUUGCCACUAGCAAUCUCGACUAAUAAAGCAUUAACUAGCUUAUCUACAGGCAAAGCUAGUUUUCUACCAAAUUCAUGCAAAAUAAAGGAGUAAUUGGCUCCAGAACAAAACAAAAUUUGGGCAGGCAAUUCAUUUACGAGAAAGGUACCUGAAGCGCCAUCGACUUCUUCUUUCGCAGCUUCAAGUGUCGUCUGAAAGGCUCUCGCCUUCGGAUUUGGUGGAAGAUUGGGUUUUGCUGCGUCCUUCUUCUUCGGGCAGUCCCUCAAAAUAUGCCCUUCUUCAUUGCACCCAAAACAUAUGUUCUUAUUGAAGGUGCAUUCAUUGGCAUAAUGCCCAAGCUUUCCACAUUUGUAACAAGUGACUUCCACGCUGCACUUCCCAGCAUGUUUCUUCUUACACUUGUCACACCACUGGCUUCGGAUCCUCCUCCAAAUUUUCUCGAACCAGUCUUUGAGAAUUUGAUCUUUUUAUUGGAACCUGAAGUUCCCUCAAACUUUCUCUUUUCGCCAACUUCAACCUUGCUGGCGGCUCUCCCUUUUAUCAUAUCUUCAACAGACUUGGCAGCCCAGAUAGCUGCCUCCAAAGUAAGUAUCUGACGUACUGGCACCGCGUACUCCCAUGGAAGUCCCUUUGCAUAUCUGUCAAUUUUUGCCAACUCAUCUGGGACAAUAUGCAAAGCAAACUCCAUUUUGUCUGUGAAGUUAUUCGUAUAUUCGUCAACGGUCAUACUCCCCUUCUGCAACGUUAGAAGUUGGUUAUCUAACUCAAGCACAUUUUGGGCCGAGCAGUACUUGCACUUGAAGUGCACCAAAAACUCUACCCAAGUUAGUUGCAGUGGCUCAUUAGGGCUUAGGGUUUUCCCCAAAGUGCUCCACCAUCGAGCAGCACUACCCCUGAACUGACGUACUGGAAACGUGGUUUGUAACUUGCCUUGGCAAUCACAAGUCAUGAAAGCGAACUCCAUUUCCGAGAUCCAGUCCAUUACUCCGACAUGAUCUUCUUUUCCAUUGAAGAUCGAUGGCUUGCAAGUCAUAAAGUCCUUAUACUUGCACCAAUUUCUCUCCAUUCUACCCUCGUGGUUAUUUCUCCCAACCACAAGCGGUUCACUAUGACCAACCGAUCUACUGUUGUUCCCUUCUUCAGAUCGAUCGUCAUUUAGUUUACAUUGUUCAACAGGAACUGAAGGUUCAUCCCUGUCGUUCAACAACAUUUUCCUCAAGUCCUCCCUUUGUUCAACCAACAUGGUCUGAAUCAUAGUUCGUACUCCAGCCAUGGUGAUGGGUUCGGGUGCAGCUCCUACUAUAGGCACCUGUUCCACCACUUGAGGUUGAGGUUGUUGGUUUCUGUUUGCAUUUCCCGCUCCACUUCGAGUUCUUUCCAUUACAAUCUAUAUACCGAAUAAGGCGAAUUUAGGUCUUUAUCCUUGUUAGACAUGUUAAUUCCCUUAUCACUCCGAAACGUUUACAUGUUAGUUCUAAUCUCGUAAUUAUGCGCUUAGAAUCCUACACACAAAAGGUUUCCAGAUCCGGUCGACAACAGACCAUAGAUCCGAACAAAUAAUGGCAUAUAUGACAACAUAUAGCAUUUAGCAAAUAAAGGCAUUUUAGGCACCUUUCCUAAAAUAAACUAGUGCUCGUGUCUAAAAUAUGGUAGAUAUUCACCUCACAAUAAUCACUUAGCAUUCUAAGUUCAAGUCUAGAAAUUCUACAAUUUCUUAGUUCGCUUAAACUAAUGCUCUGAUACCAACUGUGACAUCCCCUAAUUUCUCGGCCAGAAAAGACCGAUUUAAUUUAUGCUUUUUAAAAUAAAAUCAGAGAAAUCUUUUUAAAAGAUGUUGCGGAAUUGGUCCCCAAACAACAUAUGAUAAAAGUUUAUCAAAACCCUUCAUUAAGAAGGUAUAUAUUUUCCAUAUAUAUCAAAACCUCGGGAUGUCAUGUUCCGAUACAAAUCAAAAGCAUAAACAAGACAUUAUAAGCCUUUCAACAGUUAUUUACAACUACUGGCCUAUAAUCCAAAAAUCUCUCGUCAUCCUCCGACUAUGCUCGGGGUCCACUACCUGUAAUCAUAAAACUGAGUGGGUCAGGCUUGGGAGCCUGGUGAGCAUAUAGGGUUUUCAACCCACAAUAAUAAUAUACUUAUUAAGUUCACCAAUCAACAAUAACCCUGAUUACCCAUUCCCGUUGUCCUCACUUUACGUCCCUAAACACCUAUCACAAGGGACCUAGCCUAAGGAUUAUCAUCGGGAUGGACACUACUGCUAAGGGGUUUCCUCAGCCAUACAUGUCCUUAAGGCAACCAUGAGGGGGAUGGAGUACGCCAAUGAACAUUUAAUUCAUCAACACCUACAAGUUGCGAACCUGCUAGUGUUCCACUGGACUGUCUAGAAAGGUCCGUGGUC